CGGCACUAGAUUUCUAGGGUUCUUUGUGUGUUUUGAUUUUCAUUCAUCUCCGACGAUGGAGGGAGAUUCUGGAGAGUAAUUUGUGAUGAAUCGUCAUGUAAAUUCCUUGGAGCGUGAUGUUUUAGUGUCGUUUCGUCUCAUGUUCUUCUCCAAGGAAGCGUUACAGGCUCAAUUAAUUCAAUGCCAUUAAAGAGGUUCUUAAUUCCUUGACCCACUUCAACCACAAUCUCUCAUUCAUUUCAUCUUCCUCUCUUCCAAGCGGUGCAUCUACAGCUAUAAAAAGUAGAAUGGCGAAUGCAUCUCUCUCAGAAAAAAAGGAGGAUGAUACAGAGGAGUAAUCUUGGGUUAAGAGCGAUGGUGAUAAAGAAAUUUUUGAUCUGAGACCUGGGCCAACUCUGAAGAAUCUAAAGAGGGUUAAUCUGAGCAUUAAGAGAUUGGGACGGACCAGU